GCCUACGGGGGGCUGCAGUGGGGAAUAUUGCACAAUGGGCGAAAGCCUGAUGCAGCGACGCCGCGUGAGGGAUGACGGCCUUCGGGUUGUAAACCUCUUUCAGCAGGGAAGAAGCGAAAGUGACGGUACCUGCAGAAGAAGCGCCGGCUAACUACGUGCCAGCAGCCGCGGUAAUACGUAGGGCGCGAGCGUUGUCCGGAAUUAUUGGGCGUAAAGAGCUCGUAGGCGGUCUGUCGCGUCGGAUGUGAAAGCCCGGGGCUUAACCCCGGGUGCUGCAUUCGAUACGGGCAGACUAGAGUGUGGUAGGGGAGACUCGGAAUUCCUGGUGUAGCGGUGAAAUGCGCAGAUAUCAGGAGGAACACCGGUGGCGAAGGCGGAUCUCUGGGCCAUUACUGACGCUGAGGAGCGAAAGCGUGGGGAGCGAACAGGAUUAGAUACCCCGGAGUAGUCC
rnacentral:rRNA from 1 species